AAUAAUUGUUUGUUCACUGCUAAAUAACUGUAAUAGUAUAUAUUCAUAUUUUUAGACCAAGUGUGGUAAUUUUCAGAUUUCUUUUGUAUUAUUUGUGUGUCUUCUAAAUUUUUAUAUGUAACUGUGAUUUUGUGGGUUUUCCUAACUGUAACCUGAUAUAUAUACUGAUAACCAUGUGGCUAUGAUGUAGUUUAGGGAGGGCGCUGCGAUCACCGACACAGGCGGUCGCACUUUUGUAGCGCUCCGGAAAAAAACGUAAAUUUUUGCAAUAAAGUCAUAUCUCCUGGAGUAAAUAUACUUUUUUCCUUUUUAGGAUUGUCUUUUGCGCGCAAAAGACAAUUUUCGCGCAGUGAAGUUUCUACCCCGAUUACUGUUGGCUGUUAUACCUUACAACAGUGGAUUUCAUAGAUCUGAUAUCGAAACCAAGGACGAACUUAUUUACAGGUUCUUGAUUGCUGCAAUACAAAGUGCUGAAACAGCUUCAACGACUCAGAAACCAGUCAUACUAAAUUAUCCUUCAAACAACAACCGGAGAUCACAAAAUAAAAAAAACAGUUUGUAUAGUAACUUAGGAACAACAGCCUGCUCUGAUUGGCGUCAUCUCAUGCUUUUCAAACCUCACCAUGAGUCACCAACAGCUCUGUAAUUUGAAAACUGCCCUGUAAUAUCUGAAAACAUUUGAAUUUCGACAAAGCAUUAAGUUAUAUGUAUUUUAUAUAAUGCAAUUUAGAAGAUAUCUAAUUUUCAAUCCAGAAAUUCGAUAUGGAAAAAAAUUUUGUUUGACCACUUUUUUACUCUGUAUCAUUUUUUAAUAAAUUAAUGUAAAACUAGAAUUUAAAAUGAUGUGGUUAAAUGCAGUGUUUGAUAAAAAGAAAAAAGAAACUAUUAAAAUAUUUUUAGCUCGAACUUUUAGCCUUUAAUUUCACAUUACACAAGAAGCAUAAAACUGCUGAUUUUGUUAGCAAGAAACAUGCAUGUUAGCCUCAUGUUGCAACCCAUGUUAGCCUCAUGUUGCAACCCAUGUUAGCCUCAUGUUGUUACCCAUUCCACAUGAAUUCAAAUGAGCACACUUUGAGGUCAUGAUGGAUGUUCUGUUCAUGUUUCUUCUGUAUUUUAACUGGAAAAUCCUGUUUCUGAUUUAAAAUAAUCAACAACAUUUAUUAAAAAAGCAAAUAAAAAAUUCAAGUGAAAAUUGUUAUUAAUUCAUCCCUUUUAUUUGCAAUGACAUCAAUGCAUAAGUACUCAAGCACUCACUCUGAACAAAACAUAUUAUCACAUCUAAUCUUUUCCUGUGUAACUGCGUCUAGCAUCCCCUUAAUCAGAGAGGAAAAAUUUUAUUUUUUAACAGACAGAAAAAAAAAAGAAAAAAGAAAAAAAAAAAAAAAA